rnacentral:rRNA from 1 species
AAAUUGAAGAGUUUGAUCAUGGCUCAGAUUGAACGCUGGCGGCAGGCCUAACACAUGCAAGUCGAACGGUAGCACAGAGAGCUUGCUCUCGGGUGACGAGUGGCGGACGGGUGAGUAAUGUCUGGGAAACUGCCUGAUGGAGGGGGAUAACUACUGGAAACGGUGGCUAAUACCGCAUAAUGUCGCAAGACCAAAGAGGGGGACCUUCGGGCCUCUUGCCAUCAGAUGUGCCCAGAUGGGAUUAGCUAGUUGGUGAGGUAACGGCUCACCAAGGCGACGAUCCCUAGCUGGUCUGAGAGGAUGA